AUGCACGCUGGCGGCGUGCCUCAUACAUGCAGGUCGAGCGAACGGACGAGAAGCUUGCUUCUCUGAUGUCAGCGGCGGACGGGUGAGUAACACGUGGAUAACCUACCUAUAAGACUGGGAUAACUUCGGGAAACCGGAGCUAAUACCGGAUAAUAUUUUGAACCGCAUGGUUCAAAAGUGAAAGACGGUCUUGCUGUCACUUAUAGAUGGAUCCGCGCUGCAUUAGCUAGUUGGUAAGGUAACGGCUUACCAAGGCAACGAUGCAUAGCCGACCUGAGAGGGUGAUCGGCCACACUGGAACUGAGACACGGUCCAGACUCCUACGGGAGGCAGCAGUAGGGAAUCUUCCGCAAUGGGCGAAAGCCUGACGGAGCAACGCCGCGUGAGUGAUGAAGGUCUUCGGAUCGUAAAACUCUGUUAUUAGGGAAGAACAUAUGUGUAAGUAACUGUGCACAUCUUGACGGUACCUAAUCAGAAAGCCACGGCUAACUACGUG
rnacentral:rRNA from 1 species